GGGGGAUAUUGCACAAUGGACGGAAGUCUGACGCAGCAACGCCGCGUGCGGGAUGAAGGCCUUCGGGUUGUAAACCGCUUUCGGCAGGGACGAAGGGUUUCUGACGGUACCUGCAGAAGAAGCACCAGCUAACUACGUGCCAGCAGCCGCGGUGAUACGUAGGGUGCGAGCGUUGUCCGGAAUUAUUGGGCGUAAAGAGCUUGUAGGCGGUCUGUCGCGUCGGAAGUGAAAACUCAGGGCUCAACCCUGAGCCUGCUUUCGAUACGGGCAGACUUGAGGAAUGUAGGGGAGAACGGAAUUCCUGGUGGAGCGGUGGAAUGCGCAGAUAUCAGGAGGAACACCAGUGGCGAAGGCGGUUCUCUGGGCAUUUCCUGACGCUGAGAAGCGAAAGCGUGGGGAGCAAACA
rnacentral:rRNA from 1 species